rnacentral:rRNA from 1 species
GUAGGUGGCAAGCGUUGUCCGGGAAUUAUUGGGGCGUAAAGCGCGCGCAGGCGGUUCUUUAAGUCUGAUGUGAAAGCCCACGGGCUCAACCGUGGAGGGUCAUUGGAAACUGGAGAACUUGAGUACAGAAGAGGAAAGCGGAAUUCCACGUGUAGCGGUGAAAUGCGUAGAGAUGUGGAGGAACACCAGUGGCGAAGGCGGCUUUCUGGUCUGUAACUGUCGCUGAGGCGCGAAAGCGUGGGGAGCAAACAGGAUUAGAUACCCUGGUAGUCCACGCCGUAAACGAUGAGUGCUAAGUGUUAGGGGGUUUCCGCCCCUUAGUGCUGCAGCUAACGCAUUAAGCACUCCGCCUGGGGAGUACGGCCGCAAAGGCUG